CUUGCCGAUCUAGCUGAGCAGUUUAAGAAACAUACCAUUAAGAGAGUAUAUGUCAGCAUUACUUGUGGGGUACCAGCUUCAGUCGCAGGACGCGUUGAUAUUCCAAUUGGUCGUGAUUCUAAUAACAGAAUCCGCAUGGCUGCUAUCCCUGGAACACCUAAAAGUGGAAAAUCUCGUCAUGCUGUCAGUAGGUAUAAAGUAAUCGAAAAACUUGCUGGGGGUGGCUCGGCAUUGGUUGAAUGGAGGCUAGAAACUGGUCGCACUCAUCAGAUACGUGCUCAUGCGAAG
rnacentral:misc_RNA from 1 species